rnacentral:rRNA from 1 species
UACGGGGGGGGCAAGCGUUGUUCGGAAUUACUGGGCGUAAAGGGCUCGUAGGCGGCCAACUAAGUCGGAUGUGAAAUCCCCAGGCUUAACCUGGGAACUGCAUCCGAUACUGGAUGGCUUGAAUCCGGGAGAGGGAUGCGGAAUUCCAGGUGUAGCGGUGAAAUGCGCAGAGUAUCAGGAGGAACACCGGUGGCGAAGGCGGUGGUCUGGGCCGGCACUGACGCUGAGGAGCGAAGCGUGGGUAGCAAACAGGA